rnacentral:lncRNA from 1 species
AGCGCACAUUUUCCAUGAGGAACACUGAAAGGAAAAGUACCCGAUCCUGGUCUUGGGGAUCCAUUCUGCUUGUUUUUCGGCUCUCCCUCCCUUUCUGCCGUUAACUGAGAUUAAGUGUGUUCAGUCGGGCAGAAUCUGAAAUCCAGGUAAUCAGUAACGAGAAGAACAGGGAGAGCUUUAAACCAAGAAAGAACCAGCAGCUCUGGUGUAAAAAGAAAAGAAAAACUUGAAACCAAACUGCUCUAAAUUCUUGAUUUGUGCUGUCCAACUCACUUGUAAUUAGUGGGUUAUGUCUAGACCUUUGCCUUUGGAUCUUUCUUCCCAGCUUCCCACCUGUCCAAGUUCAGACAGGCGUUUGCUCUUUUCCAGAAUCGACAUUUUAUAUGUUGCUCUCAUUUAUUGCAGAUCAUCACGAAAGCGUUGGGACACAGGAGGAUCCAGACGUUGAGACUGGUAAGUAUGUCAACAUUGCAGUGAUUUAAGGGAUUUGGGAUCAACUGUCUUUAUUCUCCUUAAUUUCUCUAGACAUUAACUCACAUUACCUGUGUCUCCAGGUGAUCCUGAAUAUGAGGUCGAAUACAAAAAUCAGCCCUGAGGAGGGAUCACAUGUGAUCACAACCAAUGAAACAACUGCAGCAUUCACAUCUGAUUGUUCAAGAUGGCAGCGCUGUUCUUUUCGUUGUUGCUGUUCGUUGUUGUUGCCUGGUCAGGUAAGACCUCCUCUUUAUGUGUUUAUAACCUCAAAGGAUAGCUUAAACAAUGCAAAUUACUUUUUUUUUCAUUUUGAUUUGAGUUUUUUAUUUAUUGAUUUUUAUUUCUGUAGCCGUUUUGUCUUUCAGGAAUCUAAAAUACUGAUUCUCAUUCUGACACUUAACAUCUUUGUUCUUCCAAUUAUGUGUAGAAAAAUUUGA